UCCCCGGCAUCUCCACCA
rnacentral:ncRNA from 3 species